UUACCUGGUUUGAUCCUGCCAGUAGUCAUAUGCUUGUCUCAAAGAUUAAGCCAUGCAUGUCUAAGUACAGGCCGAAUUAAGGCGAAACCGCGAAUGGCUCAUUAAAUCAGUUAUGGUUCAUUGGAUCUUACCUUGUCCUACUUGGAUAACUGUGGUAAUUCUAGAGCUAAUACAUGCGAGCAAGCCCCGACCGGCGACGGGAAGGGCGCUUUUAUUAGAUCAAAACCAAUCGGGCUCUCGGGCCCGUUCCCCAGUGGUGACUCUGAAUAACUUUGUGCUGAGCGCAUGGUCUUCGUACCGGCGCCGCAUCCUUCAAGUGUCUGCCUUAUCAGCUUUCGAUUGUAGGUUAUGCGCCUACAAUGGCUAUAACGGGUAACGGGGAAUCAGGGUUCGAUUCCGGAGAGGGAGCCUGAGAAACGGCUACCACAUCUAAGGAAGGCAGCAGGCACGCAAAUUACCCACUCCCGGCACGGGGAGGUAGUGACGAAAAAUAACGAUGCGGGACUCAUCCGAGGCCUCGCAAUCGGAAUGAGUACACUUUAAAUCCUUUAACGAGGAUCUAUUGGAGGGCAAGUCUGGUGCCAGCAGCCGCGGUAAUUCCAGCUCCAAUAGCGUAUAUUAAAGUUGCUGCGGUUAAAAAGCUCGUAGUUGGAUUCGAGUCACGGAGCGAGGGUUCACCGCCCGGUGCUUACUCUCCGCCAUCCGGACGUUGAUGUCGGCGUGGCACGGGGUGCUCUUCACCGAGUGUCCCGGCGCCGCCGACGAGUUUACUUUGAAAAAAUUAGAGUGCUCAGAGCAGGCUCAACUGACGCCUGAAUAGUUGUGCAUGGAAUAAUGGAAUAGGACCUCGGUUCUAUUUUCCGUUGGUUUUCGGAACCCGAGGUAAUGACUAAUAGGAACAGUCGGGGGCAUUCGUAUUGCGACGUUAGAGGUGAAAUUCUUGGAUCGUCGCAAGACGAACUACUGCGAAAGCAUUUGCCAAGAAUGUUUUCAUUAAUCAAGAACGAAAGUUAGAGGUUCGAAGGCGAUCAGAUACCGCCCUAGUUCUAACCAUAAACGAUGCCAACUAGCGAUCCGCCGGCGUUAUUCCCAUGACUCGGCGGGCAGCUUCCGGGAAACCAAAGUUUUUGGGUUCCGGGGGAAGUAUGGUUGCAAAGCUGAAACUUAAAGGAAUUGACGGAAGGGCACCACCAGGAGUGGAGCCUGCGGCUUAAUUUGACUCAACACGGGGAACCUCACCAGGCCCGGACACCGAAAGGAUUGACAGAUUGAGAGCUCUUUCUCGAUUCGGUGGGUGGUGGUGCAUGGCCGUUCUUAGUUGGUGGAGCGAUUUGUCUGGUUAAUUCCGAUAACGAACGAGACUCAAA
rnacentral:rRNA from 1 species